UACGUAGGAUGCAAGCGUUGUCCGGAUUUACUGGGCGUAAAGCGCGCGCAGGCGGCACUCUAAGUACAUCGUGAAAUAUCCCGGCUCAACCGGGAGGGUGCGAUGUAGACUAGGGAGCUAGAGGUCGGUAGAGGGGGGUGGAAUUGCUGGUGUAGCGGUGAAAUGCGUAGAGAUCAGCAGGAACACCCGUGGCGAAGGCGGCCCCCUGGGCCGUACCUGACGCUGAGGCGCGAAGGCUAGGGGAGCGAACGGG
rnacentral:rRNA from 1 species